GAUGAACGCUGGCGGCGUGCUUAACACAUGCAAGUCGAGCGAAGCAGUUAAGUUGAUUUCUUCGGAUUGAUUCUUAAUUGACUGAGCGGCGGACGGGUGAGUAACGCGUGGGUGACCUGCCCCAUACCGGGGGAUAACAGCUGGAAACGGCUGCUAAUACCGCAUAAGCGCACAGAGCUGCAUGGCUCAGUGUGAAAAACUCCGGUGGUAUGGGAUGGGCCCGCGUCUGAUUAGGCAGUUGGCGGGGUAACGGCCCACCAAACCGACGAUCAGUAGCCGGCCUGAGAGGGCGACCGGCCACAUUGGGACUGAGACACGGCCCAAACUCCUACAGGAGGCAGCAGUGGGGAAUAUUGCACAAUGGGGGAAACCCUGAUGCAGCGACGCCGCGUGAGCGAAGAAGUAUUUCGGUAUGUAAAGCUCUAUCAGCAGGGAAGAUAAUGACGGUAC
rnacentral:rRNA from 1 species